CGCUAGCUACAGGCUUAACACAUGCAAGUCGAGGGGCAGCAUUUUAGUUUGCUUGCAAACUGAAGAUGGCGACCGGCGCACGGGUGAGUAACACGUAUCCAACCUGCCGAUAACUCCGGAAUAGCCUUUCGAAAGAAAGAUUAAUACCGGAUAGCAUACGAAUAUCGCAUGAUAUUUUUAUUAAAGAAUUUCGGUUAUCGAUGGGGAUGCGUUCCAUUAGUUUGUUGGCGGGGUAACGGCCCACCAAGACUACGAUGGAUAGGGGUUCUGAGAGGAAGGUCCCCCACAUUGGAACUGAGACACGGUCCAAACUCCUACGGGAGGCAGCAGUGAGGAAUAUUGGUCAAUGGGCGAGAGCCUGAACCAGCCAAGUAGCGUGAAGGAUGAAGGCUCUAUGGGUCGUAAACUUCUUUUAUAUGGGAAUAAAGUUUUCCACGUGUGGAAUUUUGUAUGUACCAUAUGAAUAAGGAUCGGCUAACUCCGUGCCAGCAGCCGCGGUAAUACGGAGGAUCCGAGCGUUAUCCGGAUUUAUUGGGUUUAAAGGGAGCGUAGGUGGAUUGUUAAGUCAGUUGUGAAAGUUUGCGGCUCAACCGUAAAAUUGCAGUUGAAACUGGCAGUCUUGAGUACAGUAGAGGUGGGCGGAAUUCGUGGUGUAGCGGUGAAAUGCUUAGAUAUCACGAAGAACUCCGAUUGCGAAGGCAGCUCACUAGACUGUCACUGACACUGAUGCUCGAAAGUGUGGGUAUCAAACAGGAUUAGAUACCCUGGUAGUCCACACAGUAAACGAUGAAUACUCGCUGUUUGCGAUAUACAGUAAGCGGCCAAGCGAAAGCAUUAAGUAUUCCACCUGGGGAGUACGCCGGCAACGGUGAAACUCAAAGGAAUUGACGGGGGCCCGCACAAGCGGAGGAACAUGUGGUUUAAUUCGAUGAUACGCGAGGAACCUUACCCGGGCUUAAAUUGCAACAGAAUAUAUUGGAAACAGUAUAGCCGUAAGGCUGUUGUGAAGGUGCUGCAUGGUUGUCGUCAGCUCGUGCCGUGAGGUGUCGGCUUAAGUGCCAUAACGAGCGCAACCCUUAUCUUUAGUUACUAACAGGUUAUGCUGAGGACUCUAGAGAGACUGCCGUCGUAAGAUGUGAGGAAGGUGGGGAUGACGUCAAAUCAGCACGGCCCUUACGUCCGGGGCUACACACGUGUUACAAUGGGGGGUACAGAAGGCGGCUACCUGGUGACAGGAUGCUAAUCCCAAAAGCCUCUCUCAGUUCGGAUCGAAGUCUGCAACCCGACUUCGUGAAGCUGGAUUCGCUAGUAAUCGCGCAUCAGCCACGGCGCGGUGAAUACGUUCCCGGGCCUUGUACACACCGCCCGUCAAGCCAUGGGAGCCGGGGGUACCUGAAGUACGUAACCGCAAGGAUCGUCCUAGGGUAAAACUGGUGACUGG
rnacentral:rRNA from 1 species